rfam:Camelus ferus unplaced genomic scaffold scaffold408, whole genome shotgun sequence.
GAGGGUAUAGCUCAAGUGGCAGAACACAUGCUUAGCACGCGUGAGGUCCUGGGUUCAAUCCCCAGUACCUUCC